UACAGAGGUCUCAAGCGUUGUUCGGAUUCAUUGGGCGUAAAGGGUGCGUAGGUGGCGCCGUAAGUCGGAUGUGAAAUUUCGGAGCUUAACUCCGAAACUGCAUUCGAUACUGCGGUGCUUGAGGACUGGAGAGGAGACUGGAAUUCAUGGUGUAGCAGUGAAAUGCGUAGAGAUUGGGAAGAACACCAGUGGCGAAGGCGGCUAUCUGGACGGUUUCUGACGCUAAGACGCGAAAGCGUGGGGAGCAAACAGG
rnacentral:rRNA from 1 species